GCAGCGGCAUCUGUGAGAUGCCAUGUGGUCUAACGGGAAGACCAUGGCCUGGAAAGACAAUGGGCUGGGAGUCUGACGGUGCUGAGUAGAGUGAAUGGUUCUUAUUGUUGUAACGACACGCAGCUGCUUUAUUGGUCAUUCAAGAGGAAACUUGUCCCCGUGGCGAGGGAUUUGGACUGAAGCCUGCAGCUGCUUAGCACAGAUGCUGACGAGGCCUCACCUAGGCUUUCCUGCCCACCUGCAGCCGUCAGCUUCCCUCUAACUCUGCAGAUUGACUGCACGCCUUUUUCUCCACUGCCCCUCCAAACCCACUAAGAUAGCCAUAAGGGAAUAAAGUAAGAGGAAGCAACUGGGAGAGCAAAUGCAAAAAAUGUCAACAAAAUUUUGAAAGAUGUAAGGUGUUUGAACAAAGGGCAUCUAAUUUAGUUUUAGCUUUAGCCAUUCUGCUAAGCGUCUACACCUGAAGAAGCCAACAAAACGUAAAUUGAAUCCACCAUGGAUCCUCAAAAGGCAGAGGAUCUGGAAGCACCAGACAUCUCUGAAUCCAGGGGUCAGGAUGGGGCUGAGAAGAAGAGGAUUCACUCGUAAGUCUGUAUAAGAAGGAUCUAGACCCCCAGAUUUUCUCCCUUGCCCCACACAGCCAGGCGCCAUAGCUCCUCUACCAUCCAGCAGAUGACACAUUUGCUAUCUAAAGAGGGUGAACCAGAGAGAUUCUGACCCAGGGGACGUGAAGCAUGGCAGAAGGCAGAAGACAAAGACAUCCUGAAAAGAGUAAGGCUCCCAGAAGUCACAUAUGACAGGCCCCCGCUCCCCACCCGACCCGCUGAGACAAUGCCCCACCACACUGCCUUCUCUGCAGGGCGACCGCAAUGCAGACUCGAGGGAACCGUCAUUCCAAGGACUUCCAUGUGAGUGGUGCUUCCUGAAGCUGUGCACUGAGGUGGCCCUGGAGGAACCGGCUAGCUCCCGCCCACCCUCUUCCCAUCUCAGCCCUUGCAGCUCUGUUUCUAGCAGGAGGAAGGGGAGUGAAAUCAUUCAUGCCAGCUGUGAUUCCGACUUACAUCUCACUGAGCAGGACUGUGUCAUGUGACUGCAUCUGCCAACAAGCGGGGAAACUCUAGACGUCAGAAGUGAGGUGAUCACUGUUUGUGUUGGCCCUGUUGGCAGCAGCAGAACUUUGCAAAUGGUUACUGAUGGUGGUUGGAUAUGAUGUCAUCAGACGUUUCCAAAAGAAAAGCAGUUCGGCCCUGUAAUGGCUUUUUUUUGUUGUUGUUUCACACAAUUCAUGGAAUCCAUGUAAAGUUUUUGGAGGUUCAUUUUACUAAAGGUGAAAUGUCUGAUGUUAUUGCUAAUUCUACUGUAAAUUCAGUUCAAAAGGUCACCAUUAAAAAUAAAAUGAUUUGUUUUUGCAGGAAAAAUGUAAAUACGAUUUUUGGAGGAGCACUUCACCAUGCAAAAAAUAAUACCCUUACCCUUAAUAUUGUUAAGAAGCCAAAUGGUCUUGGCAAUGACUUCUUGGAUAUGACACCAAAAGCACAGGCAACAGAAGCAAAAACAGACAAGUGGGACCACAGUAAAUUAAAAGGUUCUGCACAGCAAAGAAAACAACCCAUAGAGAGAAAAGGCAACCUACAGAAUGGGGUAAAAUAUUUGUAAACCAAACAUCUGAUAAGGGAUUAAUAUCCAAAGUUAUAAGGAACUCCUACGACUCAAAAGUAAAAAAGCAAGUAACCCAAUUAAAAAAUGGGCAAAGGACUUGAAUAGACAUUUCU
ensembl:lncRNA